GGGCGGUAUAGCCAAGUGGUAAGGCAGAGGAUUGCAAAUUCUUUAUCCUCAGUUCGAAUCUGAGUACCGCCUA
rnacentral:tRNA from 1 species